rnacentral:lncRNA from 1 species
CCUCACCUGUCCUGGAGCUCUGAAGCAGUAGAAUUAAAGAGUCUUGUGACCACUUUUUGCAUUUCCCUCUCAACAUCCACGGCGAUGCUCUGGUUUCUGGCUUCCUUCUGUCCCAGCACAGAGACGCACUGCUGCAGACAUGGCAAGAAGCACCC